GACGGACGAACCUCUGGUGUGCCAGUUGUUCCGCCAGGAGCACGGCUGGUUGGCUACGUUCGGAAGGGAUAACCGCUGAAAGCAUCUAAGCGGGAAGCUCGCCUUGAGAUGAGGUCUCCCACCACGUGAGUGGGUAAGGCCCCCAAUAGACGAUUGGGUUGAUAGGCCGGAGGUGGAAGCACAGUAAUGUGUGGAGCUGACCGGUACUAAUAGGCCGAGGACUUGACCACAA
rnacentral:rRNA from 1 species